GUGAAUCAGCUGACUUACAAACAGACCGCGAACAUGUCAUCCAUGUCGUCGGGCUACGGUCCGGCUAAGGCCCCCCUCCUUCGUUAUGUUGGAGAGGGGCCGCCAAAGAACCCACGGCGCCGAAGGCGUCAAGGAACACCGAUAUUGCCUUGCUCGGGGUCAUGCUCGGCUUGCCGGUCGUGCCUCGCGCAAUGUUGCUAUCUUAAUCCACACGACUCUCGGCAACGGAUAUCUCGGCUCUCGCAUCGAUGAAGAACGUAGCAAAAUGCGAUACCUGGUGUGAAUUGCAGAAUCCCGCGAACCAUCGAGUUUUUGAACGCAAGUUGCGCCCGAGGCCUUUUGGUUGAGGGCACGUCUGCCUGGGCGUCACGCCAAAAGACACUCCAAACCCAUCCUUGGGUACGGACGUGGUGUUUGGCUCCCCGUGCCUCACGGCAUGGUGAGCUGAAGUUGGGGCUGCCGGCAUACCGUGUCGGGCACCUGCAUGUGGUGGGCGACAUAAGUUGUUCUCGGUGCAGUGUCUCGGCACGCAGCUAGCGCAUUGGCCAAAGGACCCAUUUACGACCGUAGCGCUUCGGUGCUCGGACCGCGACCCCAGGUCAGACAGGAUCACCCACUGAGUAACCGCUUAUC
rnacentral:rRNA from 1 species